rnacentral:rRNA from 1 species
AUGCCUAGUAUGACUACAGGACCGGAACGAAGUACCACGAUGACCGUUGACAUGUACCACUACACCGCACCGAAACGCCAAGACCAUCCCGGAUGUUGCCAAGUACCACUUCGGUUCCGGAACGCGACGAGUACCACGACUACCCUCGAGGACAUUGAUUCCAUCAAGUUCAACUACAACAUGUGUACAACUACCGCCGCCGUGAUUUUCGAUAAGAUGUCGUGUGCCUCUACUUCCACUACCGUCCCGAUGAUCACAGAUGAACGAUAG